GCAAGAUGCAUAUAAGGUGGUUUCCAACACAGUGAGAUUAUAAGGAAGCUGCCUGAAGCUCUCUCCCUGCUCAGGAUUGUGAAUCUCACAGAUCUGCCAGAGUGCCCACAAAUCCCACCAUUAGAGAUGCACUCCUUUGCAUCAAGGGCAGACAAGUGUUCCCUAGGACCACACAAUGCCAUGGCUCAACCUAGCAAGAGACAGCCAACAAGAAGCACCCACAGGCUCUAUCGCGGGGGAGUGGAUGCACUACUGUGGCAUGGAGCCUGGAAGCAAGAAUAGGAUGCGAGCUGGGACCACAGACAAAGUGGCACUGCCCGGGCGUCACUCAGAAGAUUACAAGAAGAAUGUUGGAGCUACGUGUCAAGAAAAGGUCCAUGGGAAAGAGGACUUGUUACUGAUGGGAAGUCAGGUGGAGAACGCUAACAUGUAGUGCCUUGAACGUAUUACCAUUGACUGAAUGACUAAACAAGCAGAGGUUAGAAGGGCCC